GACGAACGCUGGCGGCGUGCUUAACACAUGCAAGUCGAACGGAAAGGCCCUGCUUUUGUGGGGUGCUCGAGUGGCGAACGGGUGAGUAACACGUGAGUAACCUGCCCUUGACUUUGGGAUAACUUCAGGAAACUGGGGCUAAUACCGGAUAGGAGCUCCUGCUGCAUGGUGGGGGUUGGAAAGUUUCGGCGGUUGGGGAUGGACUCGCGGCUUAUCAGCUUGUUGGUGGGGUAGUGGCUUACCAAGGCUUUGACGGGUAGCCGGCCUGAGAGGGUGACCGGCGACAUUGGGACUGAGAUACGGACCAGACUCGUACGGGAGGCAGCAGUGGGGAAUAUUGCACAAUGGGAGGAAGCCUGAUGCAGCAACGCCGCGUGCGGGAUGACGGCCUUCGGGUUGUAAACAGCUUUCGCCUGUGACGAAGCGUGAGUGACGGUAAUGGGUAAAGAAGCACCGGCUAACUACGUG
rnacentral:rRNA from 1 species